GUCCCCGCCUGGAUGACUGAUGGCUCUGUGUAUUUGCCAUAAAAUUUUAAUUAUGACAGAGUUAUGAAUCACUGCUCUGGCUGGUUAAAGUGUUAAAAAAUGAUGGGUUUGUUGUUUAUUAAACUUGGGAGGGUGGAGGGAGGAAAUGGGAAAGGUUUGGAGUUGUGUGGAUCCCGAGCUCGGGUGUUUGCUCAGGAGCUGAUUUUUGGCUGCUGCUGCCCACGAGCUCGGGUGUUUGCUCAGGAGCUGAUUUUGGAUGUGAUUUUUGGCUGCUGCUGCCCGGGGUGACAAAUGCCAUGGGUUUGGUGCCCAGGGUGACAAAUGCCAUGGAUUUGGUGGCUUUAGCCCCCUGUGGGUGGCUGGGCAGGGCUUUGUCAUCACCCCACCCCUGGGAUCCUGCCUUUGGCUGAGGAGUAGCGGUGCUGUCCCGUUCCUCCCUCGCUGAGCACGGGGAUAAAACCAAGGUGUUCACACAGAAACACCAAAUAUUUUAAAAACAUUAAGGGGCUAGAACCAGACUUGUGCAGAAUUUUCAACGCAAUGUGGUUUUUAUUAAAAGUCUCAAGUUUUGUUACCAAUUUCAGCACAAAUUCCCUUAGAACAUCACAACACUUGGAAUUUCCCAAUUCUCCGUCACUGACCCUGUCCCUUAUCCCUCUCCCUUAUCCCAGACCCUGUUCCUUGUUCCCAUCCCUGUCCCUGCUCCUUGUCCCUUUCACUGUCACUGCCCCUCUCCCUUAUCCCAGACCCUGUUCCUUUUUCCUGUCCCUUCUCCCUGUCCCUUUCAUUGUCACUGACCUUGCCCUUAUCCCAGACCCUGUUCCUUGUUCCCAUCCCUGUCCCUUCUCCCUGUCCCUUUCACUGUCCUUGUCCCUUAUCCCAGACCCUGUUCCUUCUUCCCAUCCCUGUCCCUGCUCCUUGUCCCUUUCACUGUCACUGCCCCUCUCCCUUAUCCCAGACCCUGUCCCUUCUCCCUUCCCUAUUCCCUAUCCUUUCUCCAUAUCCCAGACCCUGUCCCUUCUCCCUUCCCUAUUCCUUAUCCUUUCUCCAUGUUCCCUGUCCCUGUUCCCUAUCCUUUAUCCCUGUCCUUGUUCCCUGUCCCUUAUCCCUGUUCCCUCUCCUUUAUCCUUGUCCCUUCUCCCUUCCCUGUUCCCUAUCCCUUAUCCCUGUUCCCUAUCCAUUAUCCCUGUCCCUUCUCCCUGUCCCUGUUCCCUGUCCCUUAUCCCUGUUCCCUGUCCCUGUUCCCUAUCCUUUAUCCCUUCUCCCUGCCCCUUCUCCCUGCCCCUGUUCCCUAUCCUUUAUCCCUGUUCCCUAUCCCUUAUCCCUUCUCCCUGUCCCUUCUCCCUGCCCCUGUUCCCUGCCCCUGUUCCCUAUCCUUUAUCCCUUCUCCCUGUCCCUUCUCCCUGUCCCUUCUCCCUGUCCCCUCUCCCUGUCCCCCUGCAAACCAUGCUGCCUUUCCUGCCCUUAUGCCAGGCUGGCAGGGCAGGGCUGUUGCAGGCAGCCCCAGAACAGCUCGGGGCUCUUGCAGGGCUCUGGUCCCCGGGGAUGCUCCAGGCUGGGCUGUUCAGGGCUGAGCAGCACAACAGGUCGGUGCCAUUUGGGCAGAGCAGGGAGAGCCCCUGGGGGAAUAGGGGAUGAAUGGGGGAGCUGGGCCAUUAGUGCUGCCCAGGCUGGGCUGGGGCUAAAUGACUUUUAAAGGACAAAGCUGGGGGAUUAGAAAAUCCUUGAUGGUUUGAUCCGUGUGGGAUUGGGGCUGGUAAUAAGGAACGUCCCUGUUGCACUGGAAG
rnacentral:lncRNA from 12 species